rnacentral:rRNA from 1 species
ACGCUCGACACCUACGGGAGACAGCAGUGGGGAAUAUUGCACAAUGGGGGAAACCCUGAUGCAGCGACGCCGCGUGAGCGAAGAAGUAUCUCGGUAUGUAAAGCUCUAUCAGCAGGGAAGAAGAUGACGGUACCUGACUAAGAAGCACCGGCUAAAUACGUGCCAGUAGCCGCGGUAAUCUGAGCGGGCUGGCAAGGC